AUACUUACCUAGCAGAGGAAAUACUACGACCAUGGUGGUGUUGUUUUCCAGGGUGAGACUUAAUCAUUGCCCUCUGAAAGUUCUGAUCUCCAUGAUUUCCCCAAAUGCAGAAAGCAUGAGUGCAGGGUUUGUGAUAGUAGGGGAAUGUGGUGAACAUUAUUUUUAA